rnacentral:rRNA from 1 species
CGUAGGGUGCGAGCGUUAAUCGGAAUUACUGGGCGUAAAGCGUGCGCAGGCGGUUUAGCAAGACAGAUGUGAAAUCCCCGGGCUUAACCUGGGAAUUGCAUUUGUGACUGCCCGGCUAGAGUUUGGCAGAGGGGGGUAGAAUUCCACGUGUAGCAGUGAAAUGCGUAGAUAUGUGGAGGAAUACCGAUGGCGAAGGCAGCCCCCUGGGUCAAGACUGACGCUCAUGCACGAAAGCGUGGGGAGCAAACAGGAUUAGAUACCCUGGUAGUCCACGCCCUAAACGAUGUCUACUAGUUGUCGGGUCUUAAUUGACUUGGUAACGCAGCUAACGCGUGAAGUAGACCGCCUGGGGAGUACGGUCGCAAGAUUA